rnacentral:rRNA from 1 species
AACGAACGCUGGCGGCGCGUCUUAAGCAUGCAAGUCGAACGGCAAGAGGUAGCAAUACCUCCUAGAGUGGCGGACUGGUGAGUAACACGUGGGUGACAUACCCUUCAGAUGGGGAUAGCUAUUAGAAAUAGUAGAUAAUACCGAAUACGGGCACAGGGGGUUAGAGAUCUGUGAGGAAAGGAGCUAAGGCUCCGCUGAAGGAAUGGCCUGCGGCCCAUUAGCUAGUUGGUGAGGUAAGAGCCCACCAAGGCGAUGAUGGGUAUCCGGCCUUAGAGGGUGAACGGACACAUUGGGACUGAGAUACGGCCCAGACUCCUACGGGAGGCAGCAGCUAAGAAUAUUCCGCAAUGGACGAAAGUCUGACGGAGCGACGCCGCGCGGAUGAAGAAGGCCGGAAGGUUGUAAAAUCCUUUUGAAACUGAAGAAUAAGCGUUGUAGGGAAUGACAGCGUGGUGACAGUAGGUUUUGAAUAAGCAACGGCUAAUUACGUGCCAGCCGCUGC